CACUCCUGCGGGAGGCAGCAGUGGGGAAUUUUGGACAAUGGGCGAAAGCCUGAUCCAGCAAUGCCGCGUGUGUGAAGAAGGCCUUCGGGUUGUAAAGCACUUUUGUCCGGAAAGAAAUCCUUGGCUCUAAUACAGUCGGGGGAUGACGGUACCGGAAGAAUAAGCACCGGCUAACUACGUGCCAGCAGCCGCGGUAAUACGUAGGGUGCGAGCGUUAAUCGGAAUUACUGGGCGUAAAGCGUGCGCAGGCGGUUUGCUAAGACCGAUGUGAAAUCCCCGGGCUCAACCUGGGAACUGCAUUGGUGACUGGCAGGCUAGAGUAUGGCAGAGGGGGGUAGAAUUCCACGUGUAGCAGUGAAAUGCGUAGAGAUGUGGAGGAAUACCGACGGCGAAGGCAGCCCCCUGGGCCAAUACUGACGCUCAUGCACGAAAGCGUGGGGAGCAAACAGGAUUAGAAACCCUAGUAGUCCCAU
rnacentral:rRNA from 1 species